CAGUAGCCGCGGGAAUACGGAGGGUGCAAGCGUUAUCCGGAUUUAUUGGGUUUAAAGGGUCCGUAGGCGGAUCUGUAAGUCAGUGGUGAAAUCUCACAGCUUAACUGUGAAACUGCCAUUGAUACUGCAGGUCUUGAGUAAAUUUGAAGUGGCUGGAAUAAGUAGUGUAGCGGUGAAAUGCAUAGAUAUUACUUAGAACACCAAUUGCGAAGGCAGGUCACUAAGAUUUAACUGACGCUGAUGGACGAAAGCGUGGGGAGCGAACAGGAUUAGAUACCCCCGUAGUCCCUGUCUCUUAUAU
rnacentral:rRNA from 1 species